rnacentral:rRNA from 1 species
UACGUAGGGUGCGAGCGUUGUCCGGAAUUAUUGGGCGUAAAGAGCUUGUAGGCGGUCUGUCGCGUCUGCUGUGAAAAUCCGGGGCUCAACCCCGGACUCGCAGUGGGUACGGGCAGACUAGAGUGUGGUAGGGGAGACUGGAAUUCCUGGUGUAGCGGUGAAAUGCGCAGAUAUCAGGAGGAACACCGAUGGCGAAGGCAGGUCUCUGGGCCACUACUGACGCUGAGAAGCGAAAGCAUGGGGAGCGAACAGG